CUGUUCACGUCUCACCUCAUACUGUAUUGGAACAGCAGAAGCUGACUGCCCAGUUCAACGUCAGUUCACCGUCUCACCUCAUACUGUAUUGGAGCAGCAGCAGCUGACUUGAUCGUUGAUGCUAAUCAGUAUGUUUUGAAUCUGAGAGUAAAUAGAGCAGACUACACUCUAAAAAUGAAGGGUUCAACUGGAGUUGUUCUCAGAUCCCGUAAGAACCGUAGGGUGCUUGGUCAAUGAAAAACAGACCCAAAAGGUUCUUCAAAGAACUUGUUAGAAGGUGGGUUCAUCGAGGAACCUCCGUUUUUGCUGGACUUCUUCCGGGAACUUCGCAAUUACAACUGAAAACGAUGGUGACAUGUUUGGAUGCGACAACAAGUUAAAAAGGACAGAACAUGGACACAAUGCAAUUGGGAUCAAGAAGAAGAUCUUGUCAGAAAUGAAUCAAGUCCAUGGAAUGGAUAUAGACAAAAAGAUAAUUCAAGGACUAGCAGAGGUAGAGAGGCGAGGCAGGGGUGAGGACAUCAUCCUGCUAUUUUGACAGUCCCUGAAGGACAAUACAGAAGAGGGAUUUGCUCUUAUUCCUUCCCUUUCUCUAAUGUAU